GUUCAGGAGGAAACAGGGUUUUACAUCCCCUUUUAGGGACGCAAGUAGGAUUGCCCCAAAAGGUUCCACUCCGUUCACACUUAGCGAGGGCCCGGCAAGAGCCCCACCUUUCACAUUCAUUGUUUCCCUUACUAACCGAGGCUCCGAGACGCUAAACAAGCAGCCCAAGGUCACACCGCAGAGUGAGGGCAGCAGAGCCUCUGCGCGUGCCUCCUCCCUUCGGACCCUGCCGCGUUCCCAGAGGCUGGACUCAGCAAGCUGGAACAGGAAUCGAACCCUCAGGCCCUCGUCGCCGUCCCAGCCCUCGAGGAAUCUGCGCCCCAGGCGAAGCUGUCCACGGAGCAGCCGCCCCGCCCCCGCGGAGAGGUCCCGG
rnacentral:lncRNA from 1 species